GGCUCCCGGGGCCCUGGGCUUGAGGAGGCGGGGCUGGAGCCGGCAGCCCGGCCUGUGAGGCCUGUGACCCUAGGGGUGCCCGUCGCUUCCAGUGUUCCGGUUGCCUCCCUCAUUCCUGGGACCAGCCUCGUCACCUCCGUCACAGAUCAGCACCCGCUGGCUGGCACGUCCUCUCAGAGAUGUAACUCCAGCUCCUGGAGGCCACCUCCAGGCUGGGCCAGUGCCAGCUGGGGGCUGAGCUCUGGUUCCAACUCCUCAGGGCCCCUUCUCCAGGUUCUAGCACCUGGCUUCUCAAAGGCCCGCCUUCUUCCCUCUGCUCCUCGGGAACACUAGCUGCUUCCUUCAGUUACUAAAUCUGCAUCCCUUUUUGCCUUUCAGUCCUCCAACACCCGUUCAACCAAUUCUCUCCACUAAAUUGUCUCUGCUAAAAUACAGGACUUACAGUUGGAAGCAUGUGAGGCGGUGCUUCUGCUGCCAUUUUGCCAUUGCGUGCAGCCUGAGAAUGAAGCCACCUUUUGGAGGAGAGUGGAACUAAGUGUGAGACCGAGACACUGGGCCUGGGUGAUCUCCAUCGAGCUUCUAUACCAAGCCACGCCUAAAACCAGCCUUAUACCAGUAAUUUUCCUUUGUGCUUAAGCCAGUUUGUGUCAUUUACAUCAAAAGAGUUCUACCAGAUGCAACAGAUUUCUCUAGAAGACAACAAGUGAAAGAUUUGAAGUCACUGCGAUGGUUCAGGCCUUAGGACAGUGGUAGAAAAUUGGAAAGGAAGAGGUAGAGUCAAGAGAUAUUUAAGAGGUAAACUCGGGAAGACUUGGUUUCUGAAUAAAUGCAUUCCAUGACAUGAGAGUCAUGGAAGCAUCCAAUGACAAAGACAGUGCUCAGAUUUGGGGAGUAUGGCCAAUUAUUAAUGGUAAAAUUACUGAGUUAGGAGUUAAACAUAGGAGAAGAAUGGUCGUAGAGUCUAAGAUGAAGAAUUCCAUUUUGGACAUGAGUGUGAGGUGCCCAUAGGUCACCCAAGGCAGUCUGGUCACACCAAAGCAACUGGGUGUGAGUCUGAAACUCAGAAGAGAGGUCGGGGUGGGUGGUGCUGAAGAGUUCUGAUCACACACAUGCAGAUCAAUUAGAAGCAUGACCAUGAAUGGAGAUUGUGUGGGGUGAGACUAGCCCUAGGCUGAAGGCAGCAUCCUAGGAAACAGAAAGGACAAACUGAGAAGUGGGAGCCCACUAAGGAGACCAAGAGAGGACUGACACAGGAGAUGGUCACAGGAGACAGCCAGGAGCACAAGCAAGGGAGCAGAACCCUCCAGGAGGCAGUGACUUGCUACAUGAUGUCACGGGCCACCUCGUUCCACCUAGGAAAGCAGAAUGAGUUCUUUCCUGAAUACGCUGGGACCGAUCAGUCCGAUUUUAAACAGUCCACGCCCCUGACUUCCCUUCAUCCAACUCUGCUUAGACCUUCUCCUCUUCCCGGCCACUAGCAGCUCCACUGAAAGAUGGAAGGCAAAAGAUACC
rnacentral:lncRNA from 1 species